GAUUAUGGCUCAGGACGAACGCUGGCGGCGUGCCUAACACAUGCAAGUCGAGCGGAGACAUACGACGGAGUGGAAGUUUCGGAUGGAAGCGAAGAUGUAUGUUUAGCGGCGGACGGGUGAGUAACGCGUGAGCAACCUGUCCCUCACAGGGGGAUAACACAGCGAAAGUUGUACUAAUACCGCAUGAGACCACAGCAGGGCAUCCUGCGGGGGUCAAAGGAGCAAUCCGGUGAGGGGUGGGCUCGCGUCCGAUUAGAUAGUUGGUGGGGUAACGGCCUACCAAGUCGACGAUCGGUAGCCGACCUGAGAGGGUGAUCGGCCACAUUGGGACUGAGACACGGCCCAAACUCCUACGGGAGGCAGCAGUGGGGAAUAUUGGGCAAUGGGGGGAACCCUGACCCAGCAACGCCGCGUGAGGGAAGAAGGUUUUCGGAUCGUAAACCUCUGUCCUUGGUGAAGAGGAAGAGACGGUAGCCAAGGAGGAAGCCCCGGCUAACUACGUGCCAGCAGCAGC
rnacentral:rRNA from 1 species